AUUGAACGCUGGCGGCAUGCCUUACACAUGCAAAUCGAACGGUAACGGGCCUUCGGGUGCCGACGAGUGGCGAACGGGUGAGUAAUACAUCGGAACGUGCCCGAUCGUGGGGGAUAACGAGGCGAAAGCUUUGCUAAUACCGCAUACGAUCUACGGAUGAAAGCAGGGGACCGCAAGGCCUUGCGCGGACGGAGCGGCCGAUGGCAGAUUAGGUAGUUGGUGGGAUAAAAGCUUACCAAGCCGACGAUCUGUAGCUGGUCUGAGAGGAUGAUCAGCCACACUGGGACUGAGACACGGCCCAGACUCCUACGGGAGGCAGCAGUGGGGAAUUUUGGGCAAUGGGCGCAAGCCUGAUCCAGCCAUGCCGCGUGCAGGAUGAAGGCCUUCGGGUUGUAAACUGAUUUUGUACGGAACGAAAAGCCUUCUUUUAAUACAGGAGGGUCAUGACGGUACCGUAAGAAUAAGCACCGGCUAACUACGUG
rnacentral:rRNA from 1 species